rnacentral:rRNA from 1 species
GACGAACGCUGGCGGCGUGCUUAACACAUGCAAGUCGAACGGAAAGGCCUGCUUUCCCUUGUGGAUUGCGGGUACUCGAGUGGCGAACGAGUGAGUAACACGUGAGUGAUCUGCCCCCAACUUGGGUAUAAGCCUGGGAGACUGGGUCUAAUUCCCGAUAGGACUGCAGGGUGGUGCCUGUGGUGGAAAACGAUUUUCUAGUGGUUGGGGAUGAGCUCGCGGCCUAUCAGCUUGUUGGUGGGGUAAUGGCCUACCAAGGCGGCGACGGGUAGCCGGCCUGAGGGGGUGGACGGCCACAUUGGGACUGAGAUACGGCCCAGACUCCUACGGGAGGCAGCAGUGGGGAAUAUUACACAAUGGGCGGAAGCCUGAUGCAGCGACGCCGCGUGGGGGAUGACGGCCUUCGGGUUGUAAACUCCUUUCGACCGCGAGGAAGCCACCUGGUUGGAAGGGUGGCGACGGUAGUGGUAGAAGAAGCACCGGCUAACUACGUG